rnacentral:rRNA from 1 species
GCUUAACACAUGCAAGUCGAGGGGCAGCAUGGUCUUAGCUUGCUAAGGCUGACGGCGACCGGCGCACGGGUGAGUAACACGUAUCCAACCUGCCGUCUACUCUUGGCCAGCCUUCUGAAAGGAAGAUUAAUCCAGGAUGGCAUCAUGAGUUCACAUGUCCGCAUGAUUAAAGGUAUUUUCCGGUAGACGAUGGGGAUGCGUUCCAUUAGAUAGUAGGCGGGGUAACGGCCCACCUAGUCAACGAUGGAUAGGGGUUCUGAGAGGAAGGUCCCCCACAUUGGAACUGAGACACGGUCCAAACUCCUACGGGAGGCAGCAGUGAGGAAUAUUGGUCAAUGGGCGAUGGCCUGAACCAGCCAAGUAGCGUGAAGGAUGACUGCCCUAUGGGUUGUAAACUUCUUUUAUAAAGGAUAAGUCGGGUAUGCAUACCCGUUCAUGUACUUUAUGAUAAGGAUCGGCUACUCCGCCAGCACCCGGUAUCGGAGGAUCCGAGCGUUAUCCGGAUUUAUUGGGUUAAGGGAGCGUAGAUGGAUGUUUAAGUCAGUUGUGAAAGUUUGCGGCUCAACCGUAAAAUUGCAGUUGAUACUGGAUGUCUUGAGUGCAGUUGAGGCAGGCGGAUUCGUGGUGUAGCGGUGAAAUGCUUAGAUAUCACGAAGACUCCGAUUGCGAAG